GCAACCCAAUCAAAGGAGGGAGGAGAUGUGCUGGUAUGACACCUCACACUAGCAAGUGGGAUGCCUAAAGAGGGCCCACACUAAGGGAGGAGGGGCGACACCAAAGGGAAGAUGCUAAGGAGAAGAAGAAGGGCUCCUCUCUUCUCACACCUCUCUCUUCUUCUCUCUUCUCUCAAUCUGAUUUGUUUGCUAUGCAUCUAUAGAUAGAGAUCCUCUUUAUUUAUAGAUGAAUCUCAUGACCCAAUAAAUAUAGGCCUCCUAACUCAAACAUACUUUGAAACAAUCCAAUACUCAUGAAAGAAAGACUCCCACA
rnacentral:lncRNA from 1 species